AUUCAAUAAAGGUGCAACACAGAGUAUCAUUAGCUGAUGUGAGUCACAUUAGUGCUAGUCUCCUACCUGAUAACUUCUUCAUUAUACAUGUACCUGCUGAUCAGGACAGGCUCUUCAUUAGCACGAGGAAAACUGAGAUAGUGACGUCACUAAGGAUUGCUUACUUUGACAUGACAAAACAAGAAUUGAAUAUAUCACUACAGAACAGUAUUGAUUAUAAAGUUGAUAGAGAUCAAGUGAGAUGAGUUGAAUUCACUCAAGGAGACAAUGGUGUAUAUACAAGAUUGUUUGCAAGGAAAAUAAAGAAUUAAUAAUAACAUUAUAAUGACAGUAAAUACACUGUGUGAGACUGU